AUUUUGGACACUGAACUAGAUUAUUUGAAAAAAGCAUAUAAGCAGCUAGUAAACUGAGUUAGCAAAAAUUGACUACAGCUCUUUCUAUGGCUAAAUUGAACAUUGGAUGGUUGGAAAAUCAGUAUAAGCUGUUCUAAAACCUUCCUUCUUAAAGCUUUCCUAAGCCUAGAGUAACUUUUUUGACUUUUAAUUGGGAGUGUGUAAUUUGUUGUAGAGAUCAUUGAUGCAUUUGGCAUAAUCUCAAUCAACUUAGGCUCAAUUUUAAAGCUUUUUUGAUAUUGCUACAUUGAGAUUGCUAUUUUUUUCUUUUAAAUUUAUUUUAAAUCACUAUAUGGAAUGCUUAUUCUUUUGGUGAUGGUCAAUAAAAGCCUUAUCCUGUCCUUUCUUUUUACUAUCUUGGAGUUUGGAAAAUUAUUUCUCCUUAGUUUUAAUUAUUAAAAAAAUGCAAAAUGCUAAAUGUAAUGGAUUGCUAUGGGGAAAUGCCUAGAAGGAAAAAUGUACCUACUGUUUGCAUUGCAUUCUACAUAUUUUAUGUAGGAAGCCGCAGGUAAAGGUGUGAAUAUUGACUCAGCAGAGUUGAAGAUGACAGGAAGAGCACCAUGUGGUGGUCUUUGGAUGGAGCUGAAUACAUUUUUUCCUCCACAAGACAGGCUUUAUGCUUUCAGGACAGUAUGGGAGGAAAUCCUCAUUGUGGGUUUUGUUCUUAAAAAUUUUUUAAGUCCAUCACAACCCUUCAUUCCCAGAGAAGUUUCCAAACUUGUUGAAUACUCUUAGAGCUCCUAACUUGGAAAAGAUAGAGAUUCUUGUUAUAUUUUUAUACCACUGUUGUGCUUUUUCAUAUGCUAAUAAUAUAUUGAAAGCAUUCCUGGGAAUUGCUGUGUUAUUGUGAUAAAGUUAAGUCACUAGACCUAUUCAACUCUACUUACCAGAGACAGAAGAAUUCUGAUUGUUCAGACUUAUAAGCUUCUAAUUCAUCUCUUAGAUGUGAUGGCUGAAUCAGUAUGCCUAAUUGAUUGGUUUAGCUAAAUCAGUUAAACUUUUAAUGACCAUGUAUUCAGUUAUCAAUGAUCCCUUUCAUGCUCAUUUCUUAACUUUACCUACUCAUAUUAGCUCAUCUCCAGUGAUGCCAAUGAAUUGCCGUGGUUCAUGCCUAAGUGCUAAAGCACAUCCUGUUGUGACUAAGUAGCAAAUGAACAUUUAUAGUUCAAGGCAUGUUACUAACCUAAUCAUAAAAAUUUAAAAAUACUUUUUAAUAGUACAAAUGCUAUUAUCUUUUUCCAAAAUAUAAUUCUCCCUACUUGACCUGUCAAGCCCAGAAUAAAUUAAAAUAUGAUGCCUAGCAGCAUUAUUUUCAUGAGAACGUAUAAUAUUCACCUAUUGAUAAGAAUAGCUAUUAGCACUCUACAUUUAGCUCAGUGAUUAUGCAGUACCUACUUGUACAAUCGUUUAGAGUCAACAUCAUUCAUUGUCUUUGUAGAUCUCUCUCAAACUUUAGCUUUCUUAAAAUUAAAGAACAGUGUAGAUGCAUUAUAACUAA
rnacentral:lncRNA from 1 species